UGCAGUCGAGCGGAUGAGAGGAGCUUGCUCCUCGAUUCAGCGGCGGACGGGUGAGUAAUGCCUAGGAAUCUGCCUAGUAGUGGGGGACAACGUUUCGAAAGGAACGCUAAUACCGCAUACGUCCUACGGGAGAAAGUGGGGGAUCUUCGGACCUCACGCUAUUAGAUGAGCCUAGGUCGGAUUAGCUAGUUGGUAGGGUAAAGGCCUACCAAGGCGACGAUCCGUAACUGGUCUGAGAGGAUGAUCAGUCACACUGGAACUGAGACACGGUCCAGACUCCUACGGGAGGCAGCAGUGGGGAAUAUUGGACAAUGGGCGAAAGCCUGAUCCAGCCAUGCCGCGUGUGUGAAGAAGGCCCUCGGGUCGUAAAGCACUUUAAGUUGGGAGGAAGGGCUUACAGCGAAUACCUGUGAGUUUUGACGUUACCGACAGAAUAAGCACCGGCUAACUUCGUGCCAGCAGCCGCGGUAA
rnacentral:rRNA from 1 species